GACGAACGCUGGCGGCGUGCUUAACACAUGCAAGUCGAACGGAAAGGCCCUGCUUUUGUGGGGUGCUCGAGUGGCGAACGGGUGAGUAACACGUGAGUAACCUGCCCUUGACUUUGGGAUAACUUCAGGAAACUGGGGCUAAUACCGGAUAGGAGCUCCUGCUGCAUGGUGGGGGUUGGAAAGUUUCGGCGGUUGGGGAUGGACUGGCGGCUUAUCAGCUUGUUGGUGGGGUAGUGGCUUACCAAGGCUUUGACGGGUAGCCGGCCUGAGAGGGUGACCGGCCGCAUUGGGACUGAGGUACGGCCCAGACUCCUACGGGAGGCAGCAGUGGGGAAUAUUGCACCAUGGGCGGAAGCCUGAUGCAGCAACGCCGCGUGCGGGAUGACGGCCUUCGGGUUGUAGACCGCUUUCGCCUGUGACGAAGCGUGAGUGACGGUAAUGGGUAAAGAAGCACCGGCUAACUACGUG
rnacentral:rRNA from 1 species